UCAACACUAAUAUCUUGAGCCAUCAGAAGCCUUCUCAAAUGCACUUGUUCAUGACAAAAGGACUCUUUCUCUUUUGAGGAAUAAAACUCAUACUGAAGUUGGAGUUGGUAUUAUCAAAGCUCACAAGCACAAAGGGCCUUACUUAUGGUGUGUUCUGUUUAGUAGUAGCCAGAGAAAUACUACGUUCGUACUUGAUGAUCUUGGUGAGGGGGUUAAGCAGAAGAAAGGGUGUUAUAGUGGAACCAGCUUCUCUUGCAGCAGAGCGCACAAAGGAUUAUCAAAGCUCACAAGCACAAAGGACCUUACUUAUGGUGUGUUCUGUUUAGUAGUAGCCAGAGAAAUACCACAUUCGUGCUUGAUGAUCUUGGAGAAGGAUUAAGCAGAAGAAAGGAUGUUAUAGUGGAACCAGCUUCUCUUGCAGCAGAGCGCACAGAGACGA
rnacentral:lncRNA from 1 species